GUAAGUAUAGUUUAACCAAAAUAUCAGAUUGUGAUUCUGAAGACAGGGGUUAGAACCCCCUUACUCACC
rnacentral:tRNA from 1 species